rnacentral:rRNA from 2 species
CCUACGGGAGGCAGCAGUGGGGAAUAUUGGACAAUGGGCGCAAGCCUGAUCCAGCCAUACCGCGUGGGUGAAGAAGGCCUUCGGGUUGUAAAGCCCUUUUGUUGGGAAAGAAAAGCAGUCGGUUAAUACCCGAUUGUUCUGACGGUACCCAAAGAAUAAGCACCGGCUAACUUCGUGCCAGCAGCCGCGGUAAU